GCUGCUUCUCCACCGUCUUGGGAUGUGCAGAAAAGCCCAUGGGUAGGGCAUCUCCUGCGGAAUCAGAGCAGAUGUGGCUUGCAGGUAUGCCAUCGCUGGCUAUCCUGAGUUGGGGCACUUGCCCUGGUGACUGCCUUGAACUCUCCCCAGAAGAGGGGCUCGGUGCGAAGAUGGCUCCUUCCCCAUCGGGGAGCAGGUGCAGCAGGGGAGAUGAGUUUAAGGAGAGGCAAGGCUAAUGGUCUCUGCUCAAUCUGGGGAUCUCUGGGUCUAGUGGCAGUCCCACCCAGAGCCCCACCAUUGUGCCUUCGUCCCCAAACUUCCCUCCAGAGAGAGGUGUCAGAGCAGAACCUGGAGUGGCUCCUGAGCCGGGAUUUCUAUCCUGGAGUCCACUGCUAGUGCUGUCCAGGUAGGGACCUGAGCAGGCAGCCCUCGGCAGCUGUGGAAGGACAAGAGGUCCCUGUGGCCCCUGGUGGGUCUGGAAUGUCACAAAGCAGGUGGGGGGGUGGUGGAUGGUCUGUUUUCUAGAAGGUUCUUGGACUCUUUGGGGAGAUUCGGCUCUGGCUUGUCAGAGGCACAGUGUCCUGACCCCCGCUCCUCUUCUGGACCUCCUCUUUCUUUCCACAUGCAGCACUUUACUUUAAAGUCACUGUUGCCGUUCUCCCUGUCUGAACACUGGCAUUUCUAAGUGAUUUCUUUUCUCCCUCCCUCCCUCUCUUCCGUCCUUCCUUAACACUGGGGAUUGAACCCAGGGGCACUUUACCAUUGAGCCACAUCCCCAGCCCUUUUCAUUUUUAGUUUUAGGACAAGGUCUCACUAAUUACCCAGCCUGACCUCAAACUUGGGCUCCCCCUGCCUUGACCUCCUGAGUCUCUGGGAUCAUGGGCACGUGCCACCACACCCAGC
rnacentral:lncRNA from 1 species